UUUCCUACGGGAGGCAGCAGGGGGGAAUCUUGGACAAUGGGGGCAACCCUGNAUCCAGCCAUGCCGCGUGAACGAUGAAGGCCCUAGGGUUGUAAAGUUCUUUCAGCGGGGAAGAUAAUGACGGUACCCGCAGAAGAAGCCCCGGCUAACUACGUGCCAGCAGCCGCGGUAAUAA
rnacentral:rRNA from 1 species